rnacentral:misc_RNA from 1 species
UACGGAGGGUGCAAGCGUUAAUCGGAAUUACUGGGCGUAAAGCGUGUGUAGGUGGUUGUGCAAGUCGGUUGUGAAAUCCCUGGGCUCAACCUGGGAACUGCUUCCGAGACUGCUCGACUAGAGAUCGGUAGAGGGCGGUGGAAUUUCCGGUGUAGCAGUGAAAUGCGUAGAUAUCGGAAGGAACACCAAUGGCGAAGGCAGCCGCCUGGGCCUGAUCUGACACUGAGACACGAAAGCGUGGGGAUCAAACAGG